AGGUUGCAUUGUUAACUGUAGGAAAAAAUGAACUUGCUCUUCAUGCAGCAGAGAUUUUUUUCCGUAUAUAUGUAAUAGAAAUAGGAUGGUAGUCACUUGAGGACUGGUGUUUUUUUUCUCUUGCAGAAACAGUCCAACUCUUACGAUAUGUUCAUGAGAGGAGAAGAAAUAUUGUCAGGAGCUCAAAGAAUACAUGAUCCUCAGCUGCUAACAGAGAGAGCUUUACAUCAUGGAAUUGAUUUGGAGAAAAUUAAGGCUUACAUUGAUUCCUUUCGCUUUGGAGCCCCUCCUCAUGCUGGUGGAGGCAUUGGAUUGGAACGAGUUACUAUGCUGUUUCUGGGAUUGCAUAAUGUUCGUCAGACCUCCAUGUUCCCUCGUGAUCCCAAACGACUCACUCCUUAAAUUCACACUUUGCCACUUAACUCCAGUGUGGAUGACAGAGCAAGACCCUGCCUCAAAAAAAAAAAAAAAAAAAAAAAAAAAAAGCCACACUUAUUCUUUUCAGUAACCUGCUAGUGCAUAGGCUGUACUUUAGGUACUUAAAAUAUGCACUAGAAUAAAUUUGCAAGGCCCUAAAGUAUCACUGUUAUUUUUGGAGUAAUUCAGUGUAGGUUCAUUUAAAAGAGAUUUUUAUAACUUCAGAUAUGCAUCAGUAGGAAAUACUUGAGAAAUUCAUAUGGUUAUGUUAAAAAUUCAUAUUCUGUUACUACAGUAAACGUUAAGAGUUUUAAACAGUUAAGAUUGUACAAUUUUUUUUCUUUUCUAUAUUACAAGGGCCCCAGUGUUAAUGUCUUAGAUUUUCAGUAUUUGAACUUAUUUUUUUAAAUUCUGACAUUGGGAUAAGAAUAAUUCAGGUAGCAUCUGAAAUUUUAAUGAAUGUAUAAUUGGCAUAUCAUGGA
rnacentral:sRNA from 1 species